UACGUAGGGUGCAAGCGUUAGUCCGGAAUUAUUGGGCGUAAGAGCACGUAGGCGGUUGUCGCGUCUGCUGGUGAAAACUGGAGGCUCAACCUCCAGCCUGCAGUGGGUACGGGCAGACUAGAGUGCGGUAGGGGAGAUUGGAAUUGCCUGGUGUAGCGGUGGAAUGCGCAGAUAUCUGGAGGAACACCGGUGGCGAAGGCGGCGUUCUGGACUGCAACUGACACUGAGGAACGAAGCCAGGGGAGCAAACGGGAUUGAGAUACCC
rnacentral:rRNA from 1 species